UACGAAGGGGGCUAGCGUUGCUCGGAAUCACUGGGCGUAAAGCGCACGUAGGCGGAUUGUUAAGUCAGGGGUGAAAUCCUGGAGCUCAACUCCAGAACUGCCUUUGAUACUGGCGAUCUUGAGUCCGGGAGAGGUGAGUGGAACUGCGAGUGUAGAGGUGAAAUUCGUAGAUAUUCGCAAGAACACCAGUGGCGAAGGCGGCUUACUGGUCCGGAUCUGACGCUGAGGCGCGAAAGCGUGGGGAGCAAACAGG
rnacentral:rRNA from 1 species